CCCACGCCCACCAGUGCCAGGCAGCUCUCCCGCCCUCUUCACUGGCUGAUGCCAGGCAGGGCCCACCCACAUUCCUGCUGUGGGAGCAGCCGCUCCCAGCCAGCCCAGCCUCAUUUGUUUCCCUGGACAGACCCGAGAGGCUGUGACCCUCCACCGCCCAGCACCCAGCGGAGGAAGCCGAGGCAGAGGAGCCCAGGCCCUUCCUGCCCAAGCGCAGACCCCAAGGUGGCGGCCCCACGGACCAUGGCUGGAGAGCCCCGCGCCCACAGAGGCCUCCUGCUCCUGCUGCUCAGCCUGGGGUGGGCGCCGCCUCCGGAGGCCGCGGACGCAG